rnacentral:rRNA from 1 species
CACGUAGGGGGCAAGCGUUGUCCGGAAUCAUUGGGCGUAAAGAGCUCGUAGGCGGCUCAGUAAGUCGGGUGUGAAACCCCCAGGCUCAACCUGGGGACGCCACCCGAUACUGCUGUGGCUAGAGUCCAGUAGGGGAGUGUGGAAUUCCCGGUGUAGCGGUGAAAUGCGCAGAUAUCGGGAGGAACACCAGCGGCGAAGGCGGCACUCUGGGCUGGUACUGACGCUGAGGAGCGAAAGCCAGGGGAGCAAACGGG